UUCAUAGCAUCUUAUAGAAGAUUUUUAGUUCAGUUGAGAAAUAUGUAAUUUUGUGAAUUAUAAAUUGUUUUUGCUUUCUUACAGGAGGGAAACACUCCACUUUUGUUGGCUAUAAAUUCUACGAGACAGCAAAUGGUGGAAUUCUUAUUGAGGAACCAGGCAAAUAUACAUGCCGUUGACAAUUUCAGAAGAACAGCCCUCAUGCUUGCUGUGCAGCAUAACUCGUCAAGUAUCGUCAGCCUCCUCCUUCAACAAAAUGUAAAUAUCUUUUCUCAAGACAUGUUUGGCCAAACUGCUGAGGAUUAUGCUGUUUGUUGUGAUUUGAGAAGCAUUCAACAACAAAUUCUGGAACAUAAAAAUAAGAUACUUAAAAAUCAUCUUCGAAAUGACAAUCAAGGUAAGACUUCUGAUAGUAGAUUUCUCAUUUCUCUUGGUGGUCUUACUGAUUUUAGAAAGCAAAAUUACAGGCCAGGCGUGG